AUGCAAGAUGGAAACCCAGUGACCUUUCUUAGUAAAGCAUUAGGGGGUAACAAUCAAGGUCUAUCUACAUAUAUGAAAAAAGAAUGUAUGGCUACUCAUUUAGCAAUGGAAAAAUGGAGAUCUUACCAACAUCAUCAUGAGUUUCUCAUUAAAACCAAUCAUCAAAGUCUAGCUCAAUUAACUGCUCAGAGACCAACCACUUCCAUUCAACACAAGGCAUUUCUGAAGAUCAUUGGAUUGCAAUACAAGAUUGUGUAUAAGAAAGAAUCUAGUAAUGAAGUUGUUGAUGCUUUCAUCAGAAAAUAUGAAGAAACUCAGUGUAAUGCCAUCUCUUCUUGUAUUCCAUCUUGGACUACUACUCGCAUUGUAGGAUAUGUUCAAGAUCAGGCAAAAGAGGUUUUAACUAGUUUGGCUGUAGAUCCCACUAGCAAACCAAAUUUUACCCUAAUUGAAGGCCUCAUUGUUGGAAAUAUGCCCUAG
rnacentral:rRNA from 1 species